CGAGAAAGCCCGCAAGGGUGAGUAAAGCGGCGCACGGGUGCGUAACACGUGGGUAAUCUGCCCUAGAGUCUGGAAUAACUCGCCGAAAGGCGUGCUAAUGCCGGAUGAGACCACGGGAGCUUCGGCUCCUGCGGGAAAAGGUGGCCUCUGUAUACAAGCUAUCGCUCUAGGAUGAGCCCGCGGCCCAUCAGCUCGUUGGCGGGGUAAAGGCCCACCAAGGCUACGACGGGUAGCUGGUCUGAGAGGACGAUCAGCCACACUGGAACUGAGACACGGUCCAGACUCCUACGGGAGGCAGCAGUGGGGAAUCUUGCGCAAUGGGCGAAAGCCUGACGCAGCAACGCCGCGUGUGUGAUGAAGGUCUUCGGAUCGUAAAGCACUGUCGCGAGGGACG
rnacentral:rRNA from 1 species